rnacentral:lncRNA from 1 species
CCCCAGGGACCAGGCUGAAGCUGACAUCGCCUGCUAGGUCCAGGCUUCAACGUGCCCGCGGGGCUUUGCAGCAGGCACAGCCUUCCAGCCUUCCCAAACUCGCCCCACCGGACAGAGGGAAGAAAAGUAAUUCUGCACCUGCCAGUUGCCUCGCGCGAAGCAGGGAAGCACCUGCUGCCAAGGUUGGGAGUUGUAAACAACCCUCCUCAAAGCUUCCUACAGGAAUUCCUACUGUGGCUUCCCGCUCCUCACUGCGGCCUCUGGAAAAAGUGAUUUUGUCCAAGCAUUUAUGCCUCAAUAAAGAAUCAACUAGAGAGGAGCUGGUGUGCAAUAGGACCCAAGAGCUGAAGGAAAAUGAUGAGAGCAAAGAAAGGCUGGUUGCAGCAAGCAUUGUCUUGGGAGCAGGUAGAAAUAACCAGACCUGGGAGUAUGUGGAGUCCUCUUUGUCCAGUGAGUUGUCCUCUGGCCUGACUUCAGGGUGUGAAGAUGCAGUCCCUGCUGAGCAGUCUGCAGGUGAUCAGCUGUCCCAGGAACUGGAGCGUGUGAAGAAAGAGCUGGAACGAGUGAAGGGCGAGCUUGCUGACAAGACUGCCCAGUGUGAAGUCUAUCAGCAGACAAUCUCCUCCUUGCAGGCUCAGCUCAGAGCAGCAGGGCUUCUGGCUCCCUUUAUGGGCUGGAGCCAUCUCCUACCCUCCUUUGAUGCUGGCUAUGUGUGCCUUGCCACUAUUUGCCUUCCUGCUGCUCCUGUUGAGACACGCACUUGGCUUGUUCUGUGCCUCUGCCUGCUCCCAGCCCUGAGCCUGUGCUGCUGGAUCAAGGCCCUGGAUGAUGGGAGUGGGGAGCAGUAAGACUGGCAGGGUGACCCUGCUUGGAGUCCUGCUAUGACCGUGGUGCUGCCGAUCCUGAGAACAUUCUCGGCGAUGGUGCUGCCCAGGUGGGUCCUUGCUGGCAGCCCUGGAACGAGUGGAACUGUCUGAGUAGUGACCUUACUUCGUCAUGGGGUCAGGGGCGCUGCAGUUCCUCGAUUCUGAGAAGCGGAGGAAGAGCUUGCGUCACUUCCAGUUAGAAGCAUGAGCUGGUGUUUCCAUCACCGCAUACUCCCGCCCGGAGGAUGUGGGGGAGGCAGCCGCCUGGCACUCCCGCCUGCCCUGCUCUGCAAGAGACUGAAAAGCUUUUUGCCUCUAUAGCGCCAAUGCCGGAGCAGGGCAUUGCCGAUGAUGCCGGCGAGGGGCUGGCUUCCCUCUCCGAGCUGCCACUUUGAAUGGGCGCUCACGACACGCAAGCACUGGAUUGCACCAGGCGCGGCCCGCCGACGAGCGGGUCCCAGCUUGAGUGCUGGACAGGAUGGUGCUGGCCCCUGCCUCGCUCCUGGCUGCCGAACAGUUCUCCCAGGACUGGCGUUUCCCAUCACUUAGUGCCUGUUGCUCCCAGGACUGAGGGGUGUAGCGGAGCGCACGGAGGUGGGGGAGAAUCACCGCACAAGCCGCGGGCGGAGCUCCGCUCGCAGCCCCUGUAGCGGGCUGGCCUCUCCUCCUCGCCUCGCUCCCCGCCGCGGGGGCCAAGGCCGGGGCAGGCUCGGUUCUCAUGGCACAGUUGGACUCGGGGGAUCCUCAGCCUCUCCCUCCGUGGCGUUCCCGAGGGACCAAGGUGUCUUGCCCUGCUCUCUUGCCCGCAGCAUCCGUCCAGCCAUGCCUCGCUUGACAAGUGGCCUCCUACUUGUCACGGGAAUUUAUACUUUCGAAAACGAGCGGGAAGCGGAGCGCGGGGGCGCGGGUGGGGCUGGGAAGAAGCUCGUCUCUGCCCUGCUCCCCGCCUCCUCCCCUGGGGCUUUGGGUGGAAGCUGUUCCCGCCUUCAUU